rnacentral:rRNA from 1 species
CUAAGUUUGAUGGCGACCGGCGCACGGGUGAGUAACACGUAUCCAACCUGCCGAUGACUCGGGGAUAGCCUUUCGAAAGAAAGAUUAAUACCCGAUGGCAUAGUUCUUCCGCAUGGUAGAACUAUUAAAGAAUUUCGGUCAUCGAUGGGGAUGCGUUCCAUUAGGUUGUUGGCGGGGUAACGGCCCACCAAGCCUUCGAUGGAUAGGGGUUCUGAGAGGAAGGUCCCCCACAUUGGAACUGAGACACGGUCAAACUCCUACGGGAGGCAGCAUG